rnacentral:rRNA from 1 species
UACAGAGGUCCCAAGCGUUGUUCGGAUUCAUUGGGCGUAAAGGGCGCGUAGGCGGGUCAGCAAGUCAGGGGUGAAAUCCCACGGCUCAACCGUGGAAGUGCCUUUGAUACUGUUGAUCUCGAGGGAGGUAGGGGCGUGCGGAACUUCCGGUGGAGCGGUGAAAUGCGUAGAUAUCGGAAGGAACACCGGUGGCGAAAGCGGCGCGCUGGACCUCUUCUGACGCUGAGGCGCGAAAGCCAGGGGAGCAAACGGG